rnacentral:rRNA from 1 species
CAGGAUGAACGCUAGCGGCAGGCUUAAUACAUGCAAGUCGUGGGGCAGCAUGAGUAGCAAUACUUGAUGGCGACCGGCAAACGGGUGAGGAACACGUACACAACCUUCCUUCAAGCGGGGAAUAGCCCAGAGAAAUUUGGAUUAAUACCCCAUAAUAUAUUUGAUAAGGCAUCUUAUUAAUAUUAAAGCUUCGGCACUUGAUGAUGGGUGUGCGGCUGAUUAGAUAGUUGGCGGGGUAACGGCCCACCAAGUCUACGAUCAGUAGCUGAUGUGAGAGCAUGAUCAGCCACACGGGCACUGAGACACGGGCCCGACUCCUACGGGAGGCAGCAGUAAGGAAUAUUGGACAAUGGACGAAAGUCUGAUCCAGCCAUGCCGCGUGAAGGAUUAAGGUCCUCUGGAUUGUAAACUUCUUUUAUAUGGGACGAAAAAAGGGCAUUCUUGUUCACUUGACGGUACCAUAUGAAUAAGCACCGGCUAACUCCGUG